rnacentral:rRNA from 1 species
AGAAUCAACGCUGGCGGCGUGCCUAACACAUGCAAGUCGAACGCGAAAGCCCCGCAAGGGGUAAGUAGAGUGGCAAACGGGUGAGUAACACGUGGGUGACCUGCCUUCGAGUGGGGGAUAACGUCCCGAAAGGGACGCUAAUACCGCAUGACAUCCUGUUCUUAGACGGACGGAGAUCAAAGCUGGGGAUCGCAAGACCUGGCGCUUGAAGAGGGGCCCGCGCCUGAUUAGCUAGUUGGUGAGGUAACGGCUCACCAAGGCUACGAUCAGUA